rnacentral:rRNA from 1 species
GACGAACGCUGGCGGCGUGCUUAACACAUGCAAGUCGAACGGAAAGGCCCUGCUUUUGUGGGGUGCUCGAGUGGCGAACGGGUGAGUAACACGUGAGUAACCUGCCCUUGACUUUGGGAAAACUUCAGGAAACUGGGGCUAAUACCGGAUAGGAGCUCCUGCUGCAUGGUGGGGGUUGGAAAGUUUCGGUGGUUGGGGAUGGACUCGCGGCUUAUCAGCUUGUUGGUGGGGUAGUGGCUUACCAAGGCUUUGACGGGUAGCCGGCCUGAGAGGGUGACCGGCCACAUUGGGACUAAGAUACGGCCCAGACUCCUACGGGAGGCAGCAGUGGGGAAUAUUGCACAAUGGGCGGAAGCCUGAUGCAGCAACGCCGCGUGCGGGAUGACGGCCUUCGGGUUGUAAACCGCUUUCGCCUGUGACGAAGCGUGAGUGACGGUAAUGGGUAAAGAAGCACCGGCUAACUACGUG